GGGGAUGAAAGGCCUCGACGAGAUUUUUAACAAUGGAUGCUUGGAGCGGAUGGCCGUUUUACCGCUUAAAAACACCGGCUAACUAUAUAGGUGCCAAUUAUUCACCUAAUUACGCUUUCGCCUAACAUCGUUUAGGCGAAGUCCCGUAGCUCUGCCGAAAGGCAGAUGGUACUGGGAUAAGCCAUCUCUUCUGCGAUACUCGCUGGCAGGUUAAGAGGUGUUAUUCAGCGAGCUGGACCGGUAAUCGUUGUUUUUCCGAUCACCGGUUGAGAAAUAUGAAAAAUUAGCUUGAAGUUAUUUUGUUGUGGUUCGCCACAAUCCUGAGAGAAAUCGAAUGGAUUGAUUUUUUAGCUUCAAGUGAAACACCAAAUCAACUAACUAAGUAGAUGUCCAUUGAGCCAAAUUUCGGACGGCGGUCCAAUUCCGCCCAUCUCCACCA
rfam:Parcubacteria (Yanofskybacteria) bacterium GW2011_GWC2_41_9 TT84_C0049, whole genome shotgun sequence.